AGUGUACAUUUUUAGAGCUUGGAGGUUAGGCCACUGAUUGGCCGGUGAACUCACAAGUAUAAGUAGUGUGCUAUGUGACAGGCAAGUUUUUCACUAACACCACAGGGUCUCUGGGCCAACUAGUAGAGUUUGAUAGUAAUCCUUGCUACAAGU
ensembl:snoRNA SNORA62 Small nucleolar RNA SNORA62/SNORA6 family